rnacentral:rRNA from 1 species
UUGCACGCUGGCGGCAGGCCUAACACAUGCAAGUCGAGCGGAUGAAGGGAGCUUGCUCCUGGAUUCAGCGGCGGACGGGUGAGUAAUGCCUAGGAAUCUGCCUGGUAGUGGGGGAUAACGUCCGGAAACGGGCGCUAAUACCGCAUACGUCCUGAGGGAGAAAGUGGGGGAUCUUCGGACCUCACGCUAUCAGAUGAGCCUAGGUCGGAUUAGCUAGUUGGUGGGGUAAAGGCCUACCAAGGCGACGAUCCGUAACUGGUCUGAGAGGAUGAUCAGUCACACUGGAACUGAGACACGGUCCAGACUCCUACGGGAGGCAGCAGUGGGGAGUAUUGGACAAUGGGCGAAAGCCUGAUCCAGCCAUGCCGCGUGUGUGAAGAAGGUCUUCGGAUUGUAAAGCACUUUAAGUUGGGAGGAAGGGCAGUAAGUUAAUACCUUGCUGUUUUGACGUUACCAACAGAAUAAGCACCGGCUAACUUCGUG